rnacentral:rRNA from 1 species
UACGAAGGGGGCUAGCGUUGUUCGGAAUACUGGGCGUAAAGCGCGCGCAGGCGGUUCUUCAAGUCAGAGGUGAAAGCCCCAGAGCUCAACUCUGGAAUGGCCUUUGAGACUAGAGAACUAGGGUACGGGAGAGGUGAGUGGAAUUCCGAGUGUAGAGGUGAAAUUCGUAGAUAUCAGGAGGAACACCGAUGGCGAAGGCAGGUCUCUGGGCCACUACUGACGCUGAGAAGCGAAAGCUGGGGAGCGAACAGG